CAGCCGCCGCGGUAAUACGGAGGGAGCUAGCGUUAUUCGGAAUUACUGGGCGUAAAGCGCACGUAGGCGGCUUUGUAAGUUAGAGGUGAAAGCCUGGUGCUCAACACCAGAACUGCCUUUGAUACUGCAUCGCUUGAAUCCAGGAGAGGUGAGUGGAAUUCCGAGUGUAGAGGUGAAAUUCGUAGAUAUUCGGAAGAACACCAGUGGCGAAGGCGGCUCACUGGACUGGUAUUGACGCUGAGGUGCGAAAGCGUGGGGAGCAAACAGGAUUAGAGACCCCCGUAGUCCCUGUCUCUUAUAC
rnacentral:rRNA from 1 species